UUCAGAUCUCAGUCCUGCAGUAGAGACGCCUAAUGGCCUCGGACACUAUUCGAUGGUCUAGAGACAUUUACACAGAGCACAUCACCGGCCAC